ensembl:lncRNA
UUCCAUUGUUAAAUAUUCCUUGUGUUUUUGGUUUCUUGCAGUACAUAUCCUACCAGAUCAUUAAACUAUCAUUUCUGUUGUGUUUCUAUGAGAUUUUCCUUUUUCCUGCAGCUUUUGAAAUGAAUGAUGAUGAUGGACUUCAUACAAAAAAGCAUCUAUCUUUUAAACUCCCACACCUCCCCCGAGCCUACAGAACUGUUAAAAGUAAAUGUAAGGCCUUUAUCUUACCAUCAAUUCACGAAGACUGGCAGCGGUGUUUACGUGGAGUCCACAAUGUGCCACCAGGUGAGAGGAGUCAAUUUCCUGCAUACAUUUGUGCAGACCAUUUCCAGCAAAUGUUGUUUAAGAUAUCCCUUUUUAUUCUGCAUUACAAGAUGCUGGAAUCACGGCAGCUUUCAAUUUCUGCAGUUCAGCUAAGAGUAGAAAUAAAUCCGCAGCUCGUCUGGCAUUUGUUGCUUCAUGUGAUACUACAAACUACUGAGAAAAAUCAGCAUUUCAUCUCCAAGUAUUUCCUUAACCAAUAUACAUGUCUGUUAAAAAUAUCUCCUAAGAGAAAAAUACACCAGUGUAUCUACACUUUGCUUCUCUGAAGAAAGCUCUGCAUAUUUAGGGAGCAUAGCUUUGCUAUCAGAGACACUGUCAAGUUAACUACAGAUACAUAAUUCUGAAAUGUUCUGCUCGUUUAAAAAUGUCUGAAUGUUCAUAUAUCAUUAGUAAGAAUACUGCAGUUAAUUAGUUACAUAGUUAGUUCAAAAAUGUUGUUGAAGCUUCAGUGCCAGCUAAAAGAAUGUUUUCAGGCUCUUUUCUCAGCUUUGUGAGUUUCUGUGCAACUCUAAGCCUCAGUAAGUUUUUGGGUAUGCAGUGUUAAUCUGAAGUAAUGUGAGUUAUGCCGACUCCCUCUUGAGCUACUGACCCAAGGCUGGAAGGCACCUCCGGAGUUAUUCAUUCCAACCUCCUGCCCGAGGUGGGUUCAAUGCCAAGUGCAGGUCAGGUUGCUCAGGGCUUUGGGCUGAGUAUGCAGAGUCCACAGACUUUCUGGUUCCUUGCUUCAGUGCUUAAUCCUAAUGAAGAGCUUUUUUUUUCCUCAUGUCCUUGUGAUUAUUGUCCCUCACCCUUUAAUUGUGCUUCUACAGGAGAAGCAUGGCUGCCUUUUCUGUAAUCUCCUUUCAGGUAGCGAAAGAGAACAACCCAAUUCCUCACCAGCUUUCUCAACUCCAGUCUGAGCAUCCCUAGUGCUUUCAGCCUCUCUGUGUUCAGGAUGUGCUCCAAUCCAUGCUGAUGGACUUUGGCUGGGCUCUCCCCCAGGAUGUCAGCAAACCAAGUUAUAUCUUGUUGGUCCCAUCAGGGAAGGGGAAAAGCUAUAUUCCAAAUUACCUCUGCACUAUGCACUUGAAUUAAGGAACAUAAAGGAGUGUACUGCACUGUGCAAGCAGCAGUGGACUGGCAUGAAGAUAGAUGGUGUCUGAG